rnacentral:lncRNA from 1 species
GCAUUCAUUCUUAUCAACAUUAGAACACUCCUUUUAUACUGAUGACCCCAUGACAGAAGUCUAUUAUCUAGUAUUAUAGUUUCUUUAACACGUCAUAAUCAAGUUCCAUAGUCAUUAAGAAUGUCCCCGUCUCACCCUCUAAGCAAUCAACAAAUUGAAAAAAAUUUAUCAUCCUUAGAUAAGCCAAUUCACAAAUGGUGUCCAAUUUCAAGUCCCUUGAUGUGUAUUUUUAAUGUAAAAUAUAGUAAAUGCGUCAAAAAUAGAUGGAAAGCAAUCCAUUUUUGAAGAUUUUUGGUUCAAGGGUAAAAUUGAAAAUUUGGGUUGAUUCAGAUUCCUGCAUUUAAAUGAACCAAACAGCAACAAUAGGAAUCAGCAAUUCCAAUUUCAAUUCUAGUCACGAACCAAAUACACCAGGGAAUCUAGCCAUUCCGAUUCCCAUUUACAUCUAUUAUGAUUCUAAUUCCAAUUACGGUCAUGAACCAAACACACCUUCAACAUGUUGUUAUUCAUAAAUCCUAUUUUGGCAGCUGCCCCUCCUAUAGUUGCUUCAAGCUUAUUUAUUGUUGCUCCAACAUUUCAUUCAA